AGUUUAAACACUGGUACAGGCUUGAUAUACCUGCAACCAUGAGGAUGUCUCUGUAGAGGAUUUACUCAGCUCUCUCCCUGUCUUAUCUCUCAGUUGGUUUAUCUAGUCUGUGUCAGGAUGUCACUCAUAUUACUGUUGCUCCUCUCAGCGUUUGUAGGUGAUAGUAUGGAACAGGAAACAAUAACUCCAGUGAAGCCUGAAGUCAAUGCUCUCCAAGGAACAGACAUCACUCUCUCCUGCAACUACAAGGGCAACAUUAUCAAUCUACAAUGGUACCGUCAAUAUCCCGGAUCCAGACCAGAAUGUCUUCUUUGGAUCCUACAAACCAACAAGUAUGUACAGAAUACAUCCAUUACGACUCCACGACACACUGGUAGACUGAAUGAAGAGAAGACCCGUGUUGACUUGAUGAUCUCCUCUGUUGAAUUGGAAGACUCUGCUCUGUACCACUGUGCCUUGCAGCCCACAGUGACAGGAAACCUAGACUCACUGUACAAAAACCUGUCAAGACACUUGAGGAGUGCAGAUGUGAUGAGGCUGUUGACCAGCAG
ensembl:lncRNA